rnacentral:rRNA from 1 species
ACGGAAGGCAGCAGUGGGGAAUAUUGCACAAUGGGGGUAACCCUGAUGCAGCGACGCCGCGUGAGCGAAGAAGUAUUUCGGUAUGUAAAGCUCUAUCAGCAGGGAAGAAAAUGACGGUACCUGACUAAGAAGCUCCGGCUAAAUACGUGCCAGCAGCCGCGGUAAUACGUAUGGAGCAAGCGUUAUCCGGAUUUACUGGGUGUAAAGGGAGCGUAGACGGGACAGCAAGUCUGAUGUGAAAGGCGGGGGCUCAACCCCUGGACUGCAUUGGAAACUGUUGACCUUGAGUGCCGGAGAGGUAAGCGGAAUUCCUAGUGUAGCGGUGAAAUGCGUAGAUAUUAGGAGGAACACCAGUGGCGAAGGCGGCUUACUGGACGGUAACUGACGUUGAGGCUCGAAAGCGUGGGGAGCGAACAGGAUUAGAUACCCUGGUA